rnacentral:lncRNA from 10 species
GGCGGGGGCGAGGAGCCGGGAGCACGGUGGAGCGGUGGAGGGCGUCACUGGGUUUCGGCGUCUGGCAAGCGGUUCAGCUGUCUGCUCCCUAGCAGCCGGCCUUCGGGUCGGGCGUCUCCGCCGGCUACUGCCGCUUCAGUUCUCCCGGUGUGGCCACGAGUCGGGUUCUUGCUCUGUCACCUAAGCUGGAGUGCAGUAGGGUGAUCGUAACUCACGGAAGCCUCAAACUCAAGUGAUCCUCCCACCUCAGCCUCCUGAGUAGCUAGGACGACAGUACGUAGAAAACAGGACCAAGAGCAGGGAGCAUGGCAUUGCAAUGCGAAAGAAACUUUUUAAUCCUCCAGAGGAAUCCGAAAAAUAAAUUGUAUUUUCACUCGAUGCCUUGGCUGAGAGAAGACCUAAAGACUCUGGGUUGAUACCUGAAAGAAUCCUGUCUUAUUUGGUCUCCAUAAUCCUUUGAAUGGAAAGUGACCUGUGAGAGAUUGAACCAUGGAGAAAUAUGAAAACCCUGGAUUCUGAGUAUUUGUUGGGCAGGGCGUUUAGUACUGUCUCCCCUUUACCAGCAAACCUGACUUCACCAUGUUUAUUCCCUUUGCCUACAACCAGUUAAUAUCUGAGUAACUUAUCUCCUUCAAUAAAAUAAUUUAAAU